AGUGAACGCUGGCGGUAGGCCUAACACAUGCAAGUCGAACGGCAGCACAGUAAGAGCUUGCUCUUACGGGUGGCGAGUGGCGGACGGGUGAGGAAUACAUCGGAAUCUACUUUUUCGUGGGGGAUAACGUGGGGAAACUUACGCUAAUACCGCAUACGACCUACGGGUGAAAGCAGGGGAUCUUCGGACCUUGCGCGAUUGAAUGAGCCGAUGUCGGAUUAGCUAGUUGGCGGGGUAAAGGCCCACCAAGGCGACGAUCCGUAGCUGGUCUGAGAGGAUGAUCAGCCACACUGGAACUGAGACACGGUCCAGACUCCUACGGGAGGCAGCAGUGGGGAAUAUUGGACAAUGGGCGCAAGCCUGAUCCAGCCAUACCGCGUGGGUGAAGGAGGCCUUCGGGUUGUAAAGCCCUUUUGUUGGGAAAGAAAAGCAGCAGGUUAAUACCCCGCUGUUCUGACGGUACCCAAAGAAUAAGCACCGGCUAACUUCGU
rnacentral:rRNA from 1 species